rnacentral:rRNA from 1 species
AACGUAGGACACAAGCGUUAUCCGGAGUUACUGGGCGUAAAGAGCGCGCAGGCGGUCGUUCAAGUCGAGUGUGAAAGCCCCCGGCUCAACUGGGGAGGGUCACUCGAUACUGAUCGACUUGAAGGCAGGAGAGGGAAGCGGAAUUCCCGGUGUAGUGGUGAAAUGCGUAGAUAUCGGGAGGAACACCAGUGGCGAAGGCGGCUUCCUGGCCUGUUCUUGACGCUGAGGCGCGAAAGCUAGGGGAGCAAACAGG